UCGUCCACCUGCUGCGGGCAGAUGAAAUGGAUGUGGCUGUCGAUGCCGCCGGCCGUGACGAUGUGGCCUUCGCAACUGAUGACCUCGGUGCCCGGACCGAUGACGAUGUCCACUCCGGGCAUGGUGUCUGGGUUGCCCGCCUUGCCGAUGGCCACGAUGCGCCCGCCCUUCAAGCCGAUGUCGGCCUUGACGAUGCCCCAGUGGUCGACGAUGACCGCGUUGGUCAUGACCGUGUCCACCGUGCCUUCAGCACGCGUUCUUUGCGAUUGCGCCAUGCCGUCGCGA
rfam:Hydrogenophaga sp. IBVHS1 contig000001, whole genome shotgun sequence.